GAUGAACGCUGGCGGCGUGCCUAAUACAUGCAAGUCGAGCGAACGGACGAGAAGCUUGCUUCUCUGAUGUUAGCGGCGGACGGGUGAGUAACACGUGGAUAACCUACCUAUAAGACUGGGAUAACUUCGGGAAACCGGAGCUAAUACCGGAUAAUAUUUUGAACCGCAUGGUUCAAAAGUGAAAGACGGUCUUGCGGUCACUUAUAGAUGGAUCCGCGCUGCAUUAGCUAGUUGGUAAGGUAACGGCUUACCAAGGCAACGAUGCAUAGCCGACCUGAGAGGGUGAUCGGCCACACUGGAACUGAGACACGGUCCAGACUCCUACGGGAGGCAGCAGUAGGGAAUCUUCCGCAAUGGGCGAAAGCCUGACGGAGCAACGCCGCGUGAGUGAUGACGGUCUUCGGAUCGUAAAACUCUGUUAUUAGGGAAGAACAUAUGUGUAAGUAACUGUGCACAUCUUGACGGUACCUAAUCAGAAAGCCACGGCUAACUACGUG
rnacentral:rRNA from 1 species